UACGAAGGGGGCAAGCGUUGUUCGGAAUUAUUGGGCGUAAAGGGAGCGUAGGCGGUUCGGCAAGUCUUUAGUGAAAUCUCUGGGCUCAACUCAGAGUCUGCUGGAGAAACUGCCGGGCUGGAGUACGGGAGAGGUGAGUGGAAUUCCCGGUGUAGCGGUGAAAUGCGUAGAUAUCGCUUGGAACGCCAACGGUGAAAACAGGUUGCUGAGGGUGUGCUGACGCUGAGACACGAAAGCCAGGGGAGCGAACUGG
rnacentral:rRNA from 1 species